rnacentral:lncRNA from 1 species
UCCUCUUGGCGAGCACUAUCACUCCGUGUCAUCAGCGGUCCUGUUCUGAGACUUCGGUGUCAUAGGAUCCUAUCCAAUGAAAAUCCUCUCGACCCAGCCCACCCUGCGCUCAACUCUCUGCCGCGUGACGAAUGGACAAUGUGCUUCGGCAGCCUUGUAAGGCGCGAACUCAUGCGCACCAGCGCUUCAGAGCCCAGCCGUGUCAAUGCGCACAGGUGUGCAUGUGUCCAAUGGGGAGACAUGUCCCGGGAGGUCCACGCCCGGACACGCAACUUCGCCUUCCCACGCUUUGUUUGUGCUUCUUAUUACGGCAUCACGUGCACAUAUGAGCCUCGUACUGCUGCGUUUGGCCCCUACUUCUGCUUGUGGGGCGCUUCCCGAAUCCGCCAGGAUGGGCUCCCAAAAACCGACGGACCUCCAGGGACGAGGACCGACCCCCCAACUUUGGCGGCCCAGAACUUCCUCAACCAGACACCCCCUUAGAAACCUAAAAGCACGUGCAUAAUGCUCUCCUAAAGCUCUGUAUUUUUGAGCAUGGGGUAAGAACCUGAGCUUUCUACACACACCCCUGCAUCCGCUAUCCCUAGACACAAACCUCACCAAACUGCCAACACGUGAAACUGGGGUCGUGGCCAAUUCGCCCGAGCUGACUCACGCCAAACACUACCCAUUCGACACGCCCAACCGCCGGAGAGCCGGCGAAUGCGACGCUGCCCACUAUGGCGCGUGACAGGCGUCAUGGGUAGCGGCCAUCCCAGCUGGCCCCCACGGAGUCAUGCCGCCCCGCAGAGGACACUCGUGGUUCUGCCCCCGUUGCCUCCACCCGCCGGGUGCUGCGAGGAGAAGAGAGCACGAACGAGGGGGUUGGAUCAGAGGAGAGCACAACAGACACCCCUGCAGCGCUCAUCGACCCACCUUUCCCACGCGCCAACUUCGCCCCACA